AUCCCGGUAAUUUUAUCCUUUGUGAACCCCAUUUGAGCCUGUAUCCAUUGUUUGUUUAACCCCACAAAUGUAACCCACUUCCAAAACACUUCCUUACCCUAUUCAGAGUCAAGGUGAUAUUAUUAAGCUGUGUUAAAAUUCUAAGUUUGGGGUAAACCCCGUAAGUUUCAAAACCCAAGGUGAGUGCGGAAAAAAAAGAGGAUCAUCGAAAAAAAAAAGAGAAAACAAAAGAUACUCG
rnacentral:lncRNA from 1 species